UUAUCUGCCGGUUUGAUAAUAAUGUUCUUGUUUUCUUUCAGUUCUUUGAGGGCUUGCACCUCCUGCAAGGUCCCACUGUGCCUGCAUCACCUGGCGCCUCGCACCGCCGUUUAGCACCGGGAUGAAGGUUAGGCCCCUGUCGAGUAAGGAGGACUGGGCAACUCAUCAUCCCCGCGCAAAUCCACCAGGAUCAGGUCCUGUUCCUGUGCUACACAGGAAGCAGCCUGCUCCCCCUGAGGUGAACCGCACGGGGGGGACCAACCAGGCCUCGGAACAGUCAUGGUGGAGGCCGUUCUAGUUUCAUUGACCCUGACUGGACUAACUGGGGAGGUUUGGGACUGUGCCUCUGCCGACCUAUGGACUACAGCUUGGAUUUCCCUCAGGGCCCUGGCCGUGGGGGUUGGCAGCGCAGGCCUGAUGAUUUCCGCCAGGAGAUGCUGUAAUUUAGUAAUGGAUGGAGGGUGCUGAACCCUGAGGGCUGGUGCCAUGCACCACCCCUGGGGCCUGUUCUAGGCGCAUUUGGAAAGGAAGUCGGUUUUGCGGGCCCCCAUUGGGCCCGCGGUUCAAAAAAUUGUGGUCUGGUAGACCAUUGAUGAGAACUAUUACGGAAAAUCCUGAUACUGGCCUGGACGGGGAGCAGGCCGGCCCCCGCCCUGCAUGGCGGGCCCGCGUCUGCGCGCGACCACCGUCCAGCCAUCCCACUGCGGGGUUGCCAUUAUCAGGCUGAAGAUGGAGAGGAUAUCAAUAAGGUAACGGUAAAGGUUAUGGAGGAGGUCAGGGGAGAGGAGACGAACCGGCAAGGGACACGCAAGGCAUGAGGCACGGGCUGGUUAGGGGAAAUUGAAAGUCCGCAGGGUGGACCAGUGGGGAUUCGACUGGAGGACUGCGACCCUGCAGGCCUCCCAUCCAUGAUCCCGGAAGUGACGAACCAGUGUUGGCAGGACAUCAGGUAGACACAGUUCCUGGUGUAAACUGUGCCCGUACUGGAGGCUGCAAUUAUGUGGUGGUCUGGGAGUAAUUGCGCCGGUCCCAGGACAUUUUGAAAGCUGGAUUUGACAGCCCUGGUCAGUUUCACGGCAGCCGAGGAGUCUAAGGGCCCUAAAAAGGACAUCCGUUGCCACCUUGAAGUCCUGCUCCCGUGUGCAUAUGCGGUGGAACCUCAGAAGUUGCGACUUCACCAGGCCGGAAAAUGUGUGUCUAGGAUGGAAGCUGUUUCGGUGAAGGAGGGCAUGGGUGUCCGUUUCUUUAAAGAAGACUCUGAUGUCCAACCGGUGGGAAGAGCUGAAGUCGGGGCCCUUAAAAGUUGUGGUGUCUAAAAAAUCUAUGGACUGCAGACUGACCGUGGACUUCACUUUGAUGGAUGGAUUGAAAUUGUUUAAGGUGGCCACAAAUCCAUUAAAAUCAUCCCGGGAGUGUGUCCACACUCCCCAGAUGUCAUCCAAGUACCUAUAAUAGUGGAGAGGUUGUUUGUGACAGCAGGAAAGGGCUGCAUUCUCCCACUCUGCCAUAAAUAUAUUGGCAUAAGCGGGGGCAAAUUUCUUGCCCAUUGCUGUGCCUUUGAUUUGGAGAAAAAACUCACCAUUAAAUUCAAAGUCGUUCUUCAUUAAAUUGAUUUCUAACAAUUGCAGUAGUUCCUUGUCUGGUCUUUUCUUAUCAGGGUGUUUGGAAAAAAUGUUCCUAAUAGCCUGUAGGCCUUCUUGGAUGUCAAUAUUUGUGUAGAGGCUAUCUACGUCCAUGGUGAACAAGAUAGCCUGCUGGGGGAUGUCCAAUUGUUUAAUUUUAUUUACAAAGUCAUAUGUGUCUUUGAUGUAGCUAGGGUGGAUAACUGAAAGGGGAUUUAAAUAAUGGUCUAAAAAUUCUGCUGUGUAAUAUG